rnacentral:rRNA from 1 species
GAUGAACGCUGGCGUCGUGCCUAAUACAUGCAAGUCGAGCGAACAGACGAGGAGCUUGCUCCUCUGACGUUAGCGGCGGACGGGUGAGUAACACGUGGAUAACCUACCUAUAAGACUGGGAUAACUUCGGGAAACCGGAGCUAAUACCGGAUAAUAUAUUGAACCGCAUGGUUCAAUAGUGAAAGACGGUUUUGCUGUCACUUAUAGAUGGAUCCGCGCCGCAUUAGCUAGUUGGUAAGGUAACGGCUUACCAAGGCAACGAUGCGUAGCCGACCUGAGAGGGUGAUAGGCCACACUGGAAAUGAGACACGGUCCAGACUCCUACGGGAGGCAGAAGUAGGGAAUAUUCCGCAAUGGGCGAAAGCCUGACGGAGAAAAGCCGCGUGAGUGAUGAAGGUCUUCGGAUAGUAAAACUCUGUUAUUAGGGAAGAACAAAUGUGUAAGUAAAUAUGCACGUCUUGACGGUACAUAAUCAGAAAGACACGGCUAACUACGUG